rnacentral:lncRNA from 1 species
CAUUGGCAAGUGAAGAUGUGUGGGGAGAGAGGUACACCAUCCAAGUAUAAGGCCUUUGAGCUGCACCUGAAGAAGUCUCCUGCUUAGUACAUCAUGACUUCCAUCGCCUCCUCUGUCAUAUUUGUCACAUCUGUUCGUCAUUGGUUUCCAAUUGUGCUCAUCAUCAUCAUGGGUUUUCUCCCCUCUGCCAUCAAGGAACCCCAGAUUAGGUCUCUGAAAAUCCUUCUGGUUAUUCGUGGUCUCAAGGUUAAGACUCACGACCUGGACCAAUUUUUGGAGGAGACUGCUAUAUUGGCUCCCUGGAUAUCCCCAGAGAACAUGUGGGACCCUGACCUCUGGAUGUGUGUUCUCUUCCUUGCCUAAAAGCACGAGAUAGAGUCUGGAAUUAUCCCUCCAUUAUUCUUUGUCUUCAUCCUCCUUGCAGUCAUCACCAGUCUUAAGAAUUCUUUCGCAGAGGAAGUAGUGGCUGCCCCUAACAAACACUGCCAGAAUCAGGUUAAUAUUCACCUUUCCAUUACUGACCCCACCCCCACUUACUCUGGGCAAGCAGGUUGAUUUUAUCGAUGAGAGCUCCAGUCUUCAGGCACCAAGUCAGCUGCUGCCCAAGGUCCCUUGCUCACUAGCCCUUCUGCUCUGGCCAUAUAGGAGGUACCACCAGCUUACCCCCCAAUGUGAUGUAGGGGGACUUUCAUGUUACUCUAACUUAUGGCACCAUGUUAGGCUUCAGACGUCACAUUUCCCUUGCUGAUUACAAAUCACCAGAAGAUUCCCCCAAGUAUACCACAUCAACCCCUGCCUCGCUUUCCAAGGGUCCCUCACGUGCUCACUUCCAUUGGACUUCCUAUCCCUUGGGAGCACUACCAGCCUGCACUAGUAAUUCCAACAUGAGGUUGACAUUGGGCAAAUCAAGGUUAUCUUGAUCAGUUCCCAAAAAAACUUUUUAAAAAUUGGCACCUAUGCCCAUUGGUGCUUCUCAC